rnacentral:rRNA from 1 species
CCUACGGGUGGCAGCAGUGGGGAAUAUUGGUCAAUGGGCGCGCGCCUGAACCAGCCAAGUAGCGUGAAGGAUGACUGCCCUACGGGUUGUAAACUUCUUUUAUCAAGGAAUAAAGUGAGGCACGUGUGCCUUUUUGUAUGUAUUUUAUGAAUAAGGAUCGGCUAACUCCGUGCCAGCAGCCGCGGUAAUACGGAGGAUCCGAGCGUUAUCCGGCUUUAUUGGGUUUAAAGGGAGCGUAGAUGGGUUGUUAAGUCAGUUGUGAAAGGUUGGGGCUCAACCGUAAAAUUGCAAUUGAUACUGGCAGCCUUGAGUACAGUUGAGGUAGGCGGAAUGCGUGGUGUAGCGGUGAAAUGCUUAGAUAUCGCGAAGAACUCCGAUUGCGAAGGCAGCCUACUAGACUGCCACUGACAUUGAUGCUCGAAAGUGUGGGUAUCAAACAGGAUUAGAUACCCUUGUAGUC